rnacentral:rRNA from 1 species
UUCCAUCUGGAAGAAUCUGGAGACAGGUGCUGCAUGGCUGUCGUCAGCUCGUGUCGUGAGAUGUUGGGUUAAGUACCCGCAACGAGCGCAACCCUUGCCUUUAGUUGCCAGCAGUUCGGCUGGGCACUCUAAAGGGACUGCCGGUGUUAAACCGGAGGAAGGUGGGGAUGACGUCAAGUCCUCAUGGCCUUUAUGACCAGGGCUACACACGUACUACAAUGGCCGAUACAAAGGGCAGCGACACUGCGAGGUGAAGCCAAUCCCGUAAAAUCGGUCUCAGUCCGGAUUGGAGUCUGCAACUCGACUCCAUGAAGUUGGAAUCGCUAGUAAUCGUGGAUCAGCAUGCCACGGUGAAUACGUUCCCGGGCCUU